rnacentral:rRNA from 1 species
UACGUAGGGUGCAAGCGUUAAUCGGAAUUACUGGGCGUAAAGCGUGCGCAGGCGGUUUUGUAAGCCAGAUGUGAAAGCCCCGGGCUUAACCUGGGAAUGGCAUUUGGGACUGCAAGGCUGGAGUACGGCAGAGGGAGGUGGAAUUCCAGGUGUAGCAGUGAAAUGCGUAGAUAUCUGGAGGAACACCGAUGGCGAAGGCAGCCUCCUGGGCUAGUACUGACGCUCAUGCACGAAAGCGUGGGGAGCAAACAGG